GAUGAACGCUAGCGGCGUGCCUAACACAUGCAAGUCGAACGUGAGAGGGUACUUGUAUCCUUGAAAGUGGCGGACGGGUGAGUAAGACGUAGGUGACCUGCCUUGAAGUGGGGGAUAACCAUUGGAAACGAUGGCUAAUACCGCAUAAGCUGGUGACGAUGGGAAUCGUUAUCAGGAAAGCUUUAGUGCUUUGAGAGGGGCCUACGGCCGAUUAGCUAGUUGGUGAGGUAAAGGCUCACCAAGGCGAUGAUCGGUAGCUGGUCUGAGAGGACGAUCAGCCACACGGGAACUGAGACACGGUCCCGACUCCUACGGGGGGCAGCAGUGAGGAAUAUUGGGCAAUGGGCGAAAGCCUGACCCAGCAACGCCGCGUGGAGGAUGAAGGCUUUAGGGUUGUAAACUCCUUUUGUGGGGGAAAAGAAUGGAUGGUACCCCAAGAAUAAGUCACGGCUAACUACGUG
rnacentral:rRNA from 1 species